rnacentral:rRNA from 1 species
GAGGAGUUUUAUUCUUGCUUAAUUUUAUUUAUUAUGAGAAAAUAUUAUAUGUAAGUUUGUGCAAUUUAUAACUUCUAAAUGAUUAUAAAAAAUUGAUUACAGUAUUAAGUAUUAAUAAUUAAAUUAGUUUUGAAUUAGUUAUUUUCAUUAAGUAUUGAUAAAAUAUGUGCCAGCAUUCGCGGUUAUACAUAAAAUAUUAGUAAAUGUUAUUAGUUUAUAGUUAUUAAUAUAAUUUAAUUAUAUUUAAUUAAUUUUGGGUGAAAUCUAAUUAAUUUAUUUUGUUGUUUAUAAGUUAAGAAUCUAUGAAAUCUAAAUUAAGAGACUAGGAUUAGAUACCCUAUUAUUUUAGAUUUAAAUUAAUGAAGCUUGAGUAGUAUAAGUUAUGUUCUUUAAACUUAAAGAAUUUGGCGGUAUUUUAGUCUAUUUAGAGGAAUCUGUCCCGUUAUCGAUAAUCCACGUUGGACCUUACUUAAUUUUUUAGUAUGUAUACCGCCGUUUAUUUGAAGAUCUUAUGAGGGUGAAUUUUCUUAAUAUAAUAUAUUAUAAUAUUUCAGGUCAAGGUGCAGCUUAUAAUUAAGUGGAGAUGGAUUACAAUAUAUUUAUAUAUGAAUUAUUAAUUGUAAAAUUAAUAUGAAGGUGGAUUUAAUAGUAAUAUUAAUAAGAUUAUUAAUAUAAUUAUAGCUCUAAAAUGUGUACAUAUCGCCCGUCACUCUCGCUAGUUAAGGUGAGAUAAGUCGUAACAAAGUAGGUGUACCGGAAGGUGUAGCUAGAAUAAU